GCUGGGCGCGGUGGUGCAUGCCUGUAAUCUCAGCUACUCAGGAAGCUGAGGCAGGAGAAUCGCUUGAACCCAGGAGGCAGAGGUUGCAGUGAGCCGGGAUCACGCCACUGCACUCCAGCCUGGGUGACAGAGCGAGACUCCGUCUCAC
ensembl:misc_RNA Metazoa_SRP Metazoan signal recognition particle RNA